rnacentral:hammerhead_ribozyme from 1 species
AUCCAGCUGAAUAGUCCUAAAUAGGACGAAAUGCGCGUCCUGGAU